rnacentral:rRNA from 1 species
GACGAACGCUGGCGGCGUGCUUAACACAUGCAAGUCGAACGGAAAGGCCCUGCUUUUGUGGGGUGCUCGUGUGGCGAACGGGUGAGUAACACGUGAGUAACCUGUCCUUGACUUUGGGAUAACUUCAGGAAACUGGGGCUAAUACCGGAUAGGAGCUCCUGCUGCAUGGUGGGGGUUGGAAAGUUUCGGCGGUUGGGGCUGGACUCGCGGCUUAUCAGCUUGUUGGUGGGGUAGUGGCUUACCAAGGCUUUGACGGGUAGCCGGCCUGAGAGGGUGACCGGCCACAUUGGGCCUGAGGUACGGCCCAGACUCCUACGGGAGGCAGCAGUGGGGAAUAUUGCACAAUGGGCGGAAGCCUGAUGCAGCAGCGCCGCGUGCGGGAUGACGUCCUUCGGGUUGUAAACCGCUUUCGCCUGUGACGAAGCGUGAGUGACGGUAAUGGGUAAAGAAGCACCGGCUAACUACGUG